rnacentral:rRNA from 1 species
AUUGAACGCUGGCGGAAUGCUUUACACAUGCAAGUCGAACGGCAGCACGGACUUCGGUCUGGUGGCGAGUGGCGAACGGGUGAGUAAUGUAUCGGAACGUGCCCAGUCGUGGGGGAUAACGUAGUGAAAAUUACGCUAAUACCGCAUACGAUCUAUGGAUGAAAGCGGGGGAUCGCAAGACCUCGCGCGAUUGGAGCGGCCGAUAUCAGAUUAGGUAGCUGGUGGGGUAAAGGCCCACCAAGCCAACGAUCUGUAGCGGGUCUGAGAGGACGACAAGCCACACUGGAACUGAGACGCGGUCCAGAAUCCUACGGGAGGCAGCAGUGGGGAAUUUUGGACAAUGGGCGAAAGCCUGAUCCAGCCAUUGCGCGUGCAGGAUGAAGGCCCUCGGGUUGUAAACUGCUUUUGUACAGAACGAAAAGGUUUCUACUAAUACUAGGAGCUCAUGACGGUACUGUAAGAAUAAGCACCGGCUAACUACGUGCCAGCCGCCGCCGUAA